UACAGGGGGUGCAAACGUUGCUCGGAAUCAUUGGGCGUAAAAGCGCACGUAGGCGGUCUGUUAUGUCGGAUGUGAAAGCCCUUGGCUCAACUGAGGAAGUGCAUCCGAAACUGGCAGGCUAGAGUACUAAAGAGGAUCGCGGAAUUCCCGGUGUAGAGGUGAAAUUCGUAGAUAUCGGGAGGAACACCGGUGGCGAAGGCGGCGAUCUGGGUAGAUACUGACGCUGAGGUGCGAAAGCGUGGGGAGCAAACAGG
rnacentral:rRNA from 1 species